CUCUCUGCCUGCUUUUCAUCAUUUACAAAGGCGGCUCUCUCUCUCAGAGGACUGACAGCAUUGAUGGAAGGAGCAUCAUACUCCAUCUUCAGCCUUGAGAUAAAUUGAAGUUCCAAAACUCUGCCUGGGGAUCCAGUUGCCCAGCUUUACGCCUGGAGAGAGCUGCGCUUGAGUGGUGAGGGAGGGACAGCCCUCUGCACAUGCCCAGGGGCACUUUUCACAAAGUUCUUGAUGGCGGUGAUCAGCUGGAAUUUUGAAGCUUUACAUCAGCCCUGGAAAGUGAAGGGAAGUUUUGAAAGUGGAGCCAGAGAAAGAAGGCAGGAGCCUGGUCAGCUUAAGGCAGGGCUGAGAAACGUUGUUCAACUUGAGGACCACAUGCCGGUGGUGGGCGAGAAGAGAGGCAAAACAGGCUGGGGAAUGAAUGUGAAUUUGGCCUUUGCAAAUGAGGGAGUUUCUCUACACACAAAGCAGGUCUGGGAAUGGGUGUGACAUGCAGAGAGGCUCAUGGGGUCUGAGGGGAAUGCAUUUUUCUCCAUCUCUAGUGAAGACAGAGGGCAGGAACUCCAAGAGACUUGAAGGGAGAUACCUCUCAUUUUGGCACUAGAGCUAGACUGUUAGGGUCUCUCCCGGUGCUUACAAUUCUAUUAUUCUGUGCAUUGGCAGACUCUGCUAAGAAGGAGCUAAGACCAGCUGGUGGUCGGAAAAAAGGGGAUGGCUGCCAGCUCGUAACCACACCUCUUCUCUCCAUAAACGCCCCCACCUUCCUCUUUUCGGCACACAGAGAAAUGAGCUUCUCAAUUUUUCUCCUCCUAAAAAUGCUCAACCUCUCAUCACUUCACACAGCUUUCAGACCCAUCCUCUGAAUGGAUUUACGAUGAACGACCAAUGUCUGUGUGUCUUGAAGAGGAGUCCUCCACGCAGCAGGCAAAAGGGGGCUGCGAAUGGCUGCAAACGAAGCCUGGAGCUCUUUCUUCUGACUCUGUCUUUGCUUUCUUCUCCCUCUGGUAAGUCCUCCAAAGGCUUGAUAAGGUGAUAUGCGCGUGUUUUUGCAGGAAAAGACGUUUGUGUAGAAGGCCUCUCUGUCUUCUGAAGCGGCCUCACAAUCCCUUCAUGGCUCUGUUAUUUGGUAACAUCUAAAAUAAGCUACAUUACGCUCAGAGCGCAAACAACAGAGGGGAUGCAGCCAGGAGACUCCCUGUGCUGUAAUGGAUGGAUGCAGAGGCCGCCGACUAUAAAAUCGUUUGAAACAGUACUGCUUCCUUCUCAAGCAAGUGCAUUUUAGGGUUGGAACAGAGUGAGAUGCCUCAGUUUUCUUCCUCUCAAAAUGGAGGGAUUCUUCUUUGCAGGAAAUUUCAUUUCAGCUUUAGCUGGGGAAAGCUGGUCCCGCAAGCGAUCUUUCAAAGACUCAGUCCUGGGUUUAUUCUUGAAGGCAAAUAUCAGGCUGAUUUGUGUUUAAAAACGCAGUUAGCAACGAUGCUUCUGCAGUCUGACAAAGCACCUUUCAGAAUUGAAUAAUGAUAUCCAGUGCACUCUGAGUGGGUCUCCUCUUGCGCUUGAACUAAAAGCUGCAGUUAGUGUAUAGCUGCUGAUAUGAGUGAGACCCUGGCCACAUUUAACACAUCUCCUCAGAGAUCUGCAUUGGCUGGCGUUAUGUUAUGGGACUAAAUUUAAGGCAUUGCUACUGGUACAUAAAGCCCGCAAAAUAGCUUGAGACCAGUUUAUGUGAAGGAUUACCUUGCCCCAUACAGGCUCUUGAAUUGGUACUACUUACUGGUGCCACAUAAUAUUCAUUUCACACCUGCAAGAAAUCAAAAUUUUAAUGUGGCAGAACCUAGACUUUGGAACUCCCUGCUAUUUUGCAUCAGACAGGUGUCCUUAAUGCUUAAAACCUCUCCAUCCAGGCAACCUUACCCAGACAUACAGAAUUUGGCAUGUAUUUUAAUCGAGGGCGGGGCUCCCAGAAACCUUUUUAUUUUUUUAUCUUUUUUUAUCCACAGAAAUGUACAAAGAGCAUAACUUAAAAGCUUGAGUAAAGGUCAGUUCCUGAAAUUAAUAGGCAAGCAGAAAUCACAAAAGAUAUUGUGCAAUAUUAUGUUUUAAUGUUAAUGUGUUUUAAUCAUUGUCAGUUCCUGAAAUUAAUAGGCAAGCAGAAAUCACAAAAGAUGUUGUGCAAUAUUAUGUUUUAAUGUUAAUGUGUUUUAAUCAUUGUCAGUCACCCUGGGACCUUAGAGCGAAGGGUGGGCAAUAUAUUGCAAUCAAGUAAUUAAUUAAACUAUAAUGAGUUUAAUCAAUUAAAGUUGCAGACUAAGAUGGUGACAUUACAUCUCUCACUCUCCUAUUCAUAUAAAUUACAGAAUCAAACUAUUCUGAUCCAAAACAUACCCUCUGUUUAGCCCUCCCAGCCAAUUUCAAUUUAUUGAUCAACCUUUCAACUGAAGCUGUCUCCUCAACCUUUUAAUAUACCAAUAUUCUGGUGUAGCUCCUUCUAAGUCCUCCAAAAACAGAUAGUUCUUCACUUUGCCUUCCAUUAAAAGAUGACCGAUCAACACUUUACUUCUCACCUUCUUAUUGCUGUUUGAGAAACUGCUUAACAAAGCUAAAGGACAAUCCAUUUCUAUAUCUUGAUUGGUUAUAUUCUCAAUUUCAUGAAAUACUACAUUCCCGAAAUCUUUUUCAAAGUGUUGUUAGCUUGUUUUUGUUGGGUUUUUUGCUACUAAUUUUUAUUAGUUUUCAAUUACAGUCCAGUAAUAGCCUCAAUGUUUGACCAAACUGCGGGAGGCAGUGGAAGACAGGAGUGCCUGGCGUGCUCUGGUCCAUGGGGGCACGAAGAGUCGGACACGACUAAACGACUAAACAACAACAAUAGCCUCAAUAAAAUGCAAUACAAAUUUAUAAUACAAUUAUUAAUACCAAUCAUUCAAAUACCAAAUUAUAUAAUUUAGAUAAGGUGCCCCCCCCACAUGCUAGAAUUGAUGGCUUGAUUAUUUGCUUUAUUUCUGCAUUCCAAAAUCUUAUUAAUUUCUAUUACAUUCCAGUCAUAAUAAUAAUCCCUUAUAGAACAACUGCAGUAUUAAUAACUUCUAUUCGUGUUGACACAUUAAAUGAUUUAUAAAAUUACAAUGAACCUUAUCAGUUCCUUGGCAAGUUCACAGACUCCUUCCAUCCUACCGUCCAACUGAUGAUAAAGGAGCAAUUAUACUGCCAAUUUAAUUUAAUUCCAAGACCUCUUAGCGUUAUUCAGUUCACUCCAUAAACAAUAAAGGAUGGGGAAGAGUCAGCUCUAAGUUUUCAUCAUAAUUCUUUUGCAAAAUAGAGUUUCCCUCCCUUUUUCCUUUUUUUACACACGCAGUUCCAUUUAAUGUUAUAUUCCAUAUCUAUAAUCCAAUUUCUUACAUCCUCACUGGUACAAAUAUAAUUCGAACUAACAUUCAGAGGAGGGUUCCCGAAUCAUAAAUGUAGAGCAGAAAAUUUUAUAUAAAGAAACUAUAGGCUCCCCUCUCCCCACAACGUCUUUUGCACCAAAUGAAGUCUUCUCUCAAGUUCAAACCUUAAAGACCUUGCAGUUGGUUUUGUUCCACAGUUUUUGAUCUCAUCUUUUCUAGUACUUUAGUCCAAAUUAAGCCGUAAUUAACAGGAGUGCCUCUGCUUCUUAAUGGUGGCAUAGGAGGGUUUUCAGCAAACAAAGUGCUUUUGUACACCGCGCCUCCCUGCCUCCCACGAUCCGUUCCGGAAUGAGAGCCAGGUACCGAGACAAACUGCGAGAGAAGCCCAUUCCUUCCUGUCCCUGGGGGGAACUUGCAAGGAUAAUUACCCUCAAUCAUCCUUGUUUUUCCUUAGCCAACAACCUCCCGCUGCUGUGGGGUCUUCCUCCAUUAAGGCAGAGUGGAACCGGAAGCCCCAGUAGCAUUUGCUUUAAUUAUAUCUUGACUUUUAAAAAUACCUGUUUUUAAGUGUGUUAUUUUUAAAAGGGUUUUUUCCCCAUUUAAAAUCAAGUGGUUUAUACAUUUGGUUAGGUAAAAAUAACGAAUAAAUCCACACAUUUGGUAAAGCUUUAAAUCAGUGAUUCUGAGAGACUUUUCCAACCGUUGUCCCUUUCUUUGACUUUGUUUCUCCCUUUUCCUUCCUUCUUUCCCAUGAACUUUUUAAGGUACUGCAAAUAUCAGAGUACAGAAUCCCCACAAGGAGAAGUUGAAUGGGAUCCUGGGAGGCUGUGUGUUGCUCCCUGUAAAUAUUCCCCAAGCGGAAACAUUGAAGACAGUCGAGUGGUAUUUCCAGGGGAGAAAUGGUUUGAAAUUUCAGCUGGCUGAGUUGAAGGAAGGAAGACUGGAGAGGCUGAAUCCCAAGGACAGGUUUGGGCCAAGAUUGGAGAUGGCCAAUGAUACCACCCUGAGGAUCAAAGACUUGGAAAUGGAUGACAAUGGCAAAUAUUCCAUUAUAGUGAAGUUUACUUCAACACAGUAUGAAGAUUACACCUUCCACCUCUCUGUGUAUGGUAAGUAAUUCUUUAUUCAUCUGUGUCUAUUUAUUGUGAAAUAGAGCCUGGAAAUAGAGACAGCCUUUCUCUCCUUCAGCAGUGAUGUUGCUGGGCAGUUGCUGACAGCCAUGGAGGGCACAUAUUAUUAUUAUUAUUAUUACUAUUAUUACUAUUAUUUAUUUAUUUAUUUAUUCCCCGCCCAUCUGACUGGGUUUCCACAGCCACUCCGAGCGGCUCCCAACAGAAUAUUAAAAUCACGAUGCAAGAUCAAACAUUAAAUCUUCCCGUGACUUCAGAUGUCUUCUAAAAGUCAGAUAGUUGUUUAUUUCCCUGACAUCUGACAGGAGGGCAUUCCACAGUGCAGGUGCCACCACUGAGAAGGCCUUCUGCCGGGUUCCCUGUCGUCUCACUUCUCGCAGGGAGGGAACCGCCAGAAGGCCCUGGGAGCUGGACCUCAGUGUCCAGGCUGAACGAUGAGGGUGGAGACGCUCCUUCAGGUCUACUGGGCUUUAAAGGUCAGCACCAACAUUUUGAAUUGUGCUGGGAAACAUAUGAGCCUUUCAUAUGUUAUUCCACAGAACCAGUCCCAGAACCAAAAAUCCUCUCCCAAGUUGUCUCCAGGAGCCCAGAUGGCUGCAAUGUGACCCUGCAGUGUCAGGUGCCUGGAAAGGGGGAAUUCAACAUCUCCUGGGGAAAAGGGGAUGCCUUCAGGGACUUAGAAGAUGGUUCAAAGUCAUAUCACCUCUCUGGCAAUGGCAAAAAUCUCCACUUGUUCUGGAAGCUCAACUCCUCAGAGCCCAACAUCACCUGCCUGGUCACCAAUCCAGCAGAUCAGAAAAGCAUCUCCUCCAACUUGCUGCACAUCUGCCAAACUGAAGGUGAGCAACUCUCUAUUUUAUUUAGAAAACUGCAGAAACCACUUAAUUAAAAAAUCAUUGAUUUAAUCUUUAAAAGUGCAUAAAACACAGUGAAAGCUGAACAGUUAUUUGUCCUCCUCCCCUUCCUCAUUAUGCAUUAGCUGGGUAGUUGAUUGGGGUGUUGAACACCCAACACUUCCCUUCCAUGUUAAUUUCAAAAUGAGCCUUAUCAUGGGGUCAAUGAAAUGGAAAGAUUUAAAUUUUUUCAAAUGGAAAUCUAGACAGAUUCAUGAGCCGGUGCAAACUUAGGAAUCAGUCCUCGUAACUAGCCGAGGAUGGCUGGGGACGAUUGCACAAUUCCUGCCAAAAGCAAACGGGUGGAAUUCAGGGCGUUGUCUUAUCCGUUUCUUCUCUCUCUCUCUCUCUGCUAGUGGUUUACAAAGGAAUCUAGAAUAUUCAUUAAACAUACUUUUAAAAGCAGCCCUCAAAAGCACGUUACAUAAACUUUUGAGAUAGAAUUGAAAUCAGUACAGUAGUACUUUGAAUCUCAAACGCCUUGGCUCCUUAACCAAUCAGCUCCCGAACGAUCGAAACCCGGAAGUGACUGUUCCUGUUUUCAAACGAUUUUUGGAACCUGAAUAUCUGACAGUACUUCCGCGGCUUCCAGUUGACUGCAGGAGCUUCCCACAGCCAAUCAGAAGCCGCACUUUGGUUUCCGAAAGUUUUGGAAGUCGAACGGACUUCCAGAACAGAUUCUGUUCCACUUCCAAGGUACGACUGUAAUUUGAAAAUAAUCGUUCUUACUAAAAUCACAUGUUAAAAAGUGCAUGCUCUGGUGAUUUAAAAUUAUCUGGCAGCCUUUUCUUUUCUAUCCAGCCUUUUCUUUUCUUUUCUUUCUUUCUUUCUUUCUUUCUUUCUUUCUUUCUUUCUUUCUUUCUUUUUUACCUUACUUUCUUUUUACCUUACAACAUUUCCCCACCCAAAAAUAUGGACAGGUGGUUCAGUAUCUCUCCGUUUAAGCCUUGGACAUUUUUUAACAGAGAAACUUGUGGGAAAAGACUCCCCUCUCCAGCUGCCUUUUAUCAUCCGAAAACUGCAGCUUUCACAAGCUUCAAAAGCUAUAACAGAUGCCGUAAACACAGGCCUCUUUGUCUGCGCCAUAAUUUAUGUGGCUCUUAUCAUCCAAAUAACGGCAUUAUAUUUUAAAGCACAUUUAUAACAGUGCUUAUCUGAAAGUCUCCCUAGAUACGUAUAUAUUAAACCCAAAGACAGUGUAGCCUGCUAUGGGACAGAUUUUCUCACAAAGUCCAAAAUAUUCCACCUCUUUUCCACUUCACAGACCCAGUUGUAUUUUUGUAUCCAAGUCUAAAACACACAUUGUUGGGACUAACCAUUAUUUGAAAUUGCUUUCUUAGAGCAGCAAGAAGGCCAUUCAUUGGCAGCCAUCAAGCCAACAUCUGGCAUCAGAAAACAUCUGGGGAUUAUGACAUGUGGGUUUUCUUUCCAUGGAAAAAAACAGCUUUGGCAAUGAAUGGAGUUCUCUAACAAUGAAAGGAUUUCACAGCCAUUCAAUCACUCUCAGCAUAGCUUAUAAACCACAUAAUAAUCGUAAGAAUAAUAAUUUACCACUAAGUACAUAUAAUAAUGAGAAAACAGCAAGGAAAGAAAUAGGAACCAGGUGAAGUGAUCAGGAAUAGGAGAUGGAUCACUGCAGAUAACCACUGGGUGAAACUUUUUUACCCCGCAAUAUUCUUUUUAUUCUUCUAUGUCUGUUUUAAAAACCACAAGUUUUCACAGUAGUCCUGCUAACGUCUUAAUGAUAUGUUUGCAAUUUGUUUGUAAAUAUUCAAUAAACCACUUCCGUUCCUUAAUAAAAAAAAAGGUUGUCUUGAUUUCUAAUUCUUCUAGUAAGUUUUGCCAUUUCUGCAUAUCCCAUUAUUUUCUGUAACCAUUCUUUUCUCAUCGGAACUUCUUCUAUCCAUUUUUGGGCAAAUAUCUUCCUGUGGCUGUAGCUGUAUACAUAAAUAAGUUUCUAUAUUGCUGAGGUAGCUCUGAAGCUUUCAAGAAGCUGUUUGUGCACAGCUCUAGCCGAGACCCUUGUCCAUGCCAUAGCUGUCAACUUUUCCCUUUUCUUGCGAGGAAUCCUAUUCAGAAUAAGGGAAUUUCCCUUAAAAAAAGGAAAAUGUUGACAGCUAUGGUCCACGCAACCCACCAAUAAGCUGUGGGGUCUCCUUUCAGAGCUCGUAUUGCCCAACAUUUUAGAGGUCUUCCAAUAUCUUGCACGAAAAAACUAUUAUUUAUCCAAUCUUUGCAGGUGGCAAUCAACCCGGACUGCAUUGGAGCUGGAGCUGGACUUUUCUCAUCAUUUUCUUCGUAAUUUUCCUCCUCUUGGCUGGAUUUGGGCUAAAGACCUGGAAGAAAAGAAGGAAAAUGCCACCCAACAGAGGUAGGAAGCUUUUCGUAAGAGCAGAAGGAAAGUCUUGAGGGAACCGACCGAAGAAUCUGUUGGGAUGACCAUCCUGCCCCCCACAGCUUAUCUCUGUGAAACUUGAGUCCCUUUCAGUGGGGGUUUAGGGUUCCUCUACAUAGUUCUGUACCCUUAAGUAAAGGGACCCCUGACCAUUAGGUCCAGUCAUGGCCAACUCUGAGGUUGCGGCGCUCAUCUCGCUUUAUUGGCCGAGGGAGCCGGCUUACAGCUUCCGGGUCAUGUGGCCAGCAUGACUAAGCCGCUUCGGGCGAACCAGAGCAGUGCACGGAAACGCAGUGUGUGUGAUUAGCAUAUGUAAUGAGACAUAUUUAGCAUAUUUGGCAUAUGUAAUGAGACGUUACAUCACAUAUGCUAAAGCUAUUUUUGGACAUCUGCAUACUAUCCCUUGCUUUUUCUUAUAGGACUAAUUGCAGUUGUUAACAGUCGUCAACAGGUUUACCAUACCCAUUGAGUCAAUUGCCCAUCUCCUACUACCCUCCUGAGAAAAACCCCACCCCACCCUCCCACUAUAUAUCAGGGUCUGGUGACUUCUGUUUCAGUGUAUCUGAAGAAGUGUGCAUGCAAACGAAAGCUUAUACCCAGAACAAACUUGGUUGGUCCCUAAGGUGCUACUGGAUU